AACGCGAAGAACCUUACCUGGCCUUGACAUACUAGAAACUUUCCAGAGAUGGAUUGGUGCCUUCGGGAAUCUAGAUACAGGUGCUGCAUGGCUGUCGUCAGCUCGUGUCGUGAGAUGUUGGGUUAAGUCCCGCAACGAGCGCAACCCUCGUUCUGUGUUACCAGCAUUAAGUUGGGGACUCACAGGAGACUGCCGGGGUCAACUCGGAGGAAGGUGGGGAUGACGUCAAAUCAUCAUGCCCCUUAUGUCUUGGGCUGCACGCAUGCUACAAUGGCCGGUACAAAGUGCUGCGAGAUCGUAAGAUUGAGCGAAUCACAUAAAGCCGGUCUCAGUUCGGAUUGAGGUCUGCAACUCGACCCCAUGAAGUCGGAGUUGCUAGUAAUCGUAGAUCAGCAACGCUACGGUGAAUACGUUCCCGGGUCUUGUACACACCG
rnacentral:rRNA from 1 species